GAGUUUGAUCAUGGCUCAGAUUGAAUGCUGACGGCGUGGAUGAGGCAUGCAAGUCGAACGAAGUAGCUUGCUACUUAGUGGCGAAAGGGUUAGUAAUACAUGAGUAACGUACCUCUUUCCUGGGGAUAACGGUUGGAAACGACCGCUAAUACCGAAUGAGGAGAUCCGGGGUAGCCCGAUAUCUUCAAAGUAGGGGAUCCUUCGGGACCUUACGGAGAGAGAGCGGCUCAUGCGAUAUCAGCUUGUUGGUGUGGUAAAGGCGCACCAAGGCUAAGACGUCUAGGCGGACUGAGAGGUUGACCGCCAACACUGGGACUGAGACACUGCCCAGACUCCUAUGGGAGGCUGCAGUCGAGAAUCAUUCGCAAUGGGCGAAAGCCUGACGAUGCGACGCCGUGUGGACGAUGAAGGCCUUCGGGUUGUAAAGUCCUUUCGCCAGGGAACAAGAGAAAGUAACUAAUAAUUGCUUGAUUUGAGCGUACCUGGUAAAGAAGCACCGGCUAACUCCGUGCCAGCAGCUGCGGUAAUACGGAGGGUGCAAGCAUUAAUCGGAUUUAUUGGGUGUAAAGAGCAUGUAGGCGGAUAAGUAAGUCAGAUGUGAAAUUUCGGAGCUCAACUUCGAAGCUGCAUUUGAAACUGCUUGUCUUGAGGGUAGACGGAGAAAACGGAAUUCCAAGUGUAGCGGUGAAAUGCGUAGAUAUUUGGAAGAACACCGGUGGCGAAGGCGGUUUUCUAGUUUAUUCCUGACGCUGAGAUGCGAGAGCAAGGGUAGCAAACAGGAUUAGAUACCCUGGUAGUCCUUGCCGUAAACGAUGCAUACUUGGUGUAGUCGGACUCAACCCCGACUGUGCCGUAGCUAACGCGUUAAGUAUGCCACCUGGGGAGUACGCUCGCA
rnacentral:rRNA from 1 species